rnacentral:lncRNA from 1 species
UUACCUCCAUUGCACGUGCUCUUGGGCUAGACACUGAGCUAGCUACAUUAGAACCACUCCCACCUCGCACAGUAAAUUUAAAAUUUUUGAGAGAUAUGAGAUUGUGCAAGGAAAGGAAAGACGAAGGCUACAUCCUCAUUGUUCAUAAUGUAGCUAUCUCGAGUGUUGUUUUUCCGUGCUCUCUUCGUACAUAUGUGCGACUUCAAAGAAACCUGACUUUUGAUUUACAGGCUGCGUCUUUUCUCGGUCCACCACCAU